rnacentral:rRNA from 1 species
AUGGCCACCUUUGCAAAAAUCGCCAUGGAACUCCUCAGGGAUCCACUGAUGUGGCUGUUCUUCGCGUCGCUGGCCUUGGUAGCCAUGCAGAGGCGGCGGCUGGGCAGCGCGCCGUUUCCUCCGGGGCCCAAGUCGCUGCCGGUCAUCGGCAACAUGACGCUGGUGGACCAGCUGACCCACCGCGGCCUAGCUGCGUUAGCGAAGCAGUUCGGCGGGCUGCUGCACCUUCGCUUCGGCUGGCUCCACGUCUUCGCGGUGUCGACGCCCGAGUACGCGCGCGCGGUGCUGCACGAGCAGGACGGCGCCUUCUCGAACCGCCCGGCGACCAUCGCCGUGGUCUACCUCACGUACGGCCGCUCCGACAUGGCGUUCGCGCACAACGGCGCCUACUGGCGCCAGAUGCGCAAGCUCUGCGUCACCAAGAUCUUCAGCCGCCACCGCGCCGAGACGUGGCUCGCCGUGCGCGAAGGGUACGGGGCGCUGGCCCGCGAGGUCGGCCGGCGCAGCGGCGAGGCCGUCAACCUCGGCGAGCUCAUCUUCAACCUCACCGUCAGCGUCAUCUUCCGCGCGGCCUUCAGCACCCGCGACGAGGACGGGCUCAUCGAGUUCGUCGCCAUCCUCCAGGAGUUCUCGAGGCUGCUAGGAUUGUUCCACAUCGGUGACUUCUUCCCGUGGCUCGCCUGGGUGGGCCGUCGUGGCUUCAACCGCCGGCUCAGCACGGCGCGCGGCGCUCUCGACAGGUUUAUCGACAAGAUCGUCGACGAGCACAUGAGGAGGGGCAAGAACCCGGCAGACCCCGACGCCGACUUGGUAGAUGGCCUGCUCGCCUUCCUCGCCAACGCAAACCCAGUCAGCGGCAAGCGCAGAGAGGACGCUCUCCGCCUCACGCGGGAUAAUGUCAAAGCUAUGAUCAUGGACAUGUUAUUUGGUGGACCGGAAACCGUGGGGUCCACCACCGAGUGGGCGAUGGCAGAGAUGAUGCGCAGCCCAGGCGAGCUCGAGCGGCUACAGCAGGAGCUCGCCGAUGUGGUGGGGCUCGACCGGGCGGUUGAAGAAUCCGACCUCGACAAGCUCCCUUUCCUCAGGUGUGUCGUCAAGGAGGCGCUACGCAUGCACCCGCCCAUCCCCGUGCUCCUCCACGAGGCCGCCAAGGACUGUGUUGUUGGCGGCUACUCCGUACCGAGAGGUUCCCGCGUGUUGGUCAAUGCAUGGGCGAUCAACCGCGACAGCGGGGCCUGGAAGGAUGGCGACACAUUUCGACCAGCACGGUUCAUGCCCGGCGAGGGCGAGGCCGCCGGUCUAGACCUCAAGGGAAGCUGCUACGAGUUCUUGCCGUUUGGGUCUGGCAGACGCUCAUGCCCUGCGCAGGGGCUCGGCCAACAUGCGGUUGAGUUCGCCAUCGCGCAGCUGGCGCAUGGUUUCAACUGGAAGCUGCCCGACGGCAUGAAGCCAACAGAGCUUGACAUGGGUGACAUUUUUGGCCUCACCGCGUCACGCUCCACACGGCUCUAUGCCGUGCCCACGCCCCGGCUCACCUGCCCCAUGUAA